rnacentral:rRNA from 1 species
AACGAACGCUGGCGGCAUGCCUAACACAUGCAAGUCGAACGAGACCUUCGGGUCUAUUUUCGCACGUGUUCUUAACGCGUGGGAACCUGCCCUUAUGUUCGGAAUAACUCCCCUAAAGUGGUGCUAAUACCGGUUAAUUUCUUCUGACCAAAGAUUUAUCGCCUUUGGAUGUGCCCGCUUUGGAUUAGCUUGUUGGUAGGGUAAAAGGAUACUAAGGCGACUAUCCAUAGAUGUUCUGAGAGGAUGAUCAGCCACACUGGGACUGAGACACGGCACAGAAUCCUACGGGAGGCAGCAGUGGGGAAUAUUGGACAAUGGGCGAAAGCCUGAUCAAGCAAUGCCGCGUGAGUGAUGAAGGCCUUAGGGUUGUAAAGCUCUUUUAACCGGGAUGAUAAUGACAGUACCGGGAGAAUAAGCUCCGGCUAACUCCGUG